rnacentral:rRNA from 1 species
UACGUAGGGGGCUAGCGUUGUCCGGAUUUAUUGGGCGUAAAGAGCGUGUAGGCGGCCUGGUAGGUCUGCUGUGAAAACUCGAGGCUCAACCUCGAGAUGUCGGCGGAAACCAUCUGGCUAGAGUCCGGAAGAGGAGAGUGGAAUUCCUGGUGUAGCGGUGAAAUGCGCAGAUAUCAGGAAGAACACCAAUGGCGAAGGCAGCUCUCUGGGACGGUACUGACGCUGAGACGCGAAAGCGUGGGGAGCGAACAGG